rnacentral:lncRNA from 1 species
ACACCCUGCCACAGUGCAAGCCUGAGAAGCAGUGAGGACCCCAUGAAGCUGAAGGACAGGCCGAUCCCCCGAUAGACGAUUAUGUACGAUGUGAGCGGGCAAGGAAACACAAGCUGGCUUACAGGUGGAAUACCUGAGAGUCUCCAGAGAGGACCCAUGACAGACAGCUGAGACAUGGAUGGACACGAGCCCCAGAGAGACUUCAGGUAAUUCUUCUCUUCAAGUAAUGCCUCCCCAACUAGUACAUUCUAUAAGGAUGAGGAUCAUAUCCCUUCAUGCUCACCACUCUAUCCCCAAAGCCCAACACUCUACUGCUUGACUGAGAGCAGGUAUUGCAGAAAGAACAAAGAGAGAGGAAGUUGGGCACUCCAUAAGUCCAUUAGCCUUCAUCAGAGGUGAACCUCCCAACUCAAUGUUUGACAUGUGAAAAAAAAAGCAGAUCUGGCUGGAGCAGAUUCAGAAAACCUCUUAUCUCCCCCAGGCGGAUGAUGUGCCCACCGACCACAUCAGCCACGAUGGGAAACUGAGGCUCAGAGAGGUUAAAUAACGUGCCCAAGAUCAUGUGCAAUCACAUUUGCCCUGAACAAAUUUGGGCAAGCAAGAACCUCACUUGAAAAGCAGGAAAAGAGAAGCCAAGGCCUGUCACCUCCCUGUAAUCCCUGAGCUUUCUAGCUUUCUCUAGCAAAGAACAAAAAGAAAAAAAGGAACAACAAACAAGCCAACCCAUAACCAAGCCCAAAGAAUCAGAGUUUCACUGGCAUUCAACAGUUGUGAAUUCGGAAAGUCACAGACGGCAGAACCUGGAGCCAUACACAAGGAUCAGAAACCCCUGCACUGUUCCUACCAACAGCUAACGUGAAUUUGAGGGCAAUCAAGAGAAAAACAAUUCUUAUCCAUGCUGAAGUUUGAGAGCUGAUACCACCUAACCCUUCAGAACAUCUAAUACUAAGUACCAGUAAUGGAACCCCUCCAGAUGACAAAGGUGGAGCUCCACAGAGCAAGCCGGAUCUUCUAAAUCAUGACGAAACCCAGCUCAUGGCACCUGGAGCUGAUGAAUGGCCCUGGUGCUGACUGCCCAGAAACCAAUCCGGAAACCAGGCUUCCCACAGAAGAGGCAGCUGGAGAGCCAAGCACUCUUGGACUACAGUCCUAGGCUGGAGCUGCCAAUACAGGCUCUGCCCAGCUAAUCUUCUCUGAGCCUGCAAAUAUUAAACCUGACAUACAGACUCAAGUGAAUCCAGAAAACAGGCUCACAGGGCAGCUGAAAAUUCCAAGUGCCUAAGUGAGAUCCAGUGCGACAGUGGAGCAUGUGUGCGCAGAGGAGACAGGAACAACAACCGGGAUGUCAUGCGGGCGCACUGGGGCUCCUUGUGGCCCCAGUGCACAGAAUUCUGGUGGACCCACCAUGUGUGGGAGCUCAGUGAGACUCAAAGUAAGUGCAAGGCCCUCCUCACACAUCGUACGCUGAAGGUGGAGCACACUGGGAAAAUGUGCAUGCAUCAAGAAGAAAAAUGAAAACUGAUUUUGUGCAACAUUUCCACUGUUCUUGGAAGAAUGAAAUAAAUGCAUAUGAGCUAUGAA